rnacentral:lncRNA from 1 species
UACCAAAGCUUGAUUCUACAGUACCCCGGGUCACACUCCACACCCUACAGAUCACAGAACGGUGAUCAAGAAUAGUUCUUAGAGCUACCGUUGAACAAAGAUUGGAAGGACAGAAACGAAAGACACAUGCAUCAACAGAACUGUUGCAUGCUCAAAACCCUAGAGGCCUAAGGAAAGGGAGAAACGACUUACCGGCGAAAUAACGAGAACCCAAUCGAUUCAAGUCGAAGCUCUCGACUCCUGGAACGCAUGGAUGCCACCUG